UCAAAAAAAGUUUUUAGAACACUAACUUUGGGAGUUAGAGGGUAGCGUAAGCUAUUUUUGAA
rnacentral:tRNA from 1 species